rnacentral:rRNA from 1 species
UACGUAGGGUGCAAGCGUUGUCCGGAAUUAUUGGGCGUAAAGCGCGCGUAGGCGGCGCCGCAAGUCGGCCGUGAAAUCUCCAGGCUUAACCUGGAGGGGUCGGGCGAGACUGCGGUGCUCGAGGUGGGCAGAGGGCGGUGGAAUUCCGGGUGUAGUGGUGGAAUGCGUAGAGCUCCGGAGGAACACCAGCGGCGAAGGCGGCAUCCUGGACUGGUCCUGACACUCAUGAGCGAAAGCGUGGGGAGCGAUCCGG